UUUCUAGUCCUACUGGGAGAAGAGGAACAGGUUUCUAGUCCUACUGGGAGAAAGAGGAACAGGUUUCUAGUCCUACUGGGAGAAAGAGGAACAGGUUUCUAGUCCUACUGGGAGAAAGAGGAACAGGUUUCUAGUCCUACUGGGAGAAAGAGGAACAGGUUUCUAGUCCUACUGGGAGAAAGAGGAACAGGUUUCUAGUCCUACUGGGAGAAAGAGGAACAGGUUUCUAGUCCUACUGGGAGAAAGAGGAACAG